UAUGUGAACCAUGUUGGUUGUAACACUUAGUAUCACAUACUUUGUGUCAAAGUACGCAUGUUGAAGCUCUAAGUUGGAGUAUAAGGGUAGGUCAGCGUAGACCAAGUGUUCCAGUGCUAGGAAUGCAAAAGACUCAGAAGAAGUUAUCUGAAUUCCCUCUUCUUUAAAUAUUUGCCGAAUGGCUUGUGUGACAAAAGAUCUCAAGCGAUUGAGAGUCAAAACAUUUGUAAUUUGUAUGCCUUCUCAUAAUAGCAUUUCCUUCAGUACCUAGUCCUCCACUUUGAAAGAGUGAGGCUUGGCCCUGUUGGAAAUGUGCCCUAAAACCAAUCAUAUGAUGAUACUUUACAGACAUUUCACAUGUUAAACUAAUCUAGUUUAACUAUAAAGGGCAAAGAUUAUUGUUUGAGCCGUCUCAUAUAAAUGUUAUAUGCUUAAACAAUAAAGUCCAAGGAAUAUGUGAUUGGGAGAAUGCAAUCUAAAGAAAUUAGAUUCAUGAGACCAUUCUUUCGUAGGCACACCCUAAACGUUCCUAAUCAUAGGAUUGCCAAUUGGGCAUUGACAGUCCGUUAAGAUCAGUACGUGCUGUGUCUUCUCUCAGGGAGAGUGACUAGUCUCGAGUCAUUGGUGUGUGUGACAUCAAGACAAGUACGUAGGUGCUCAAUAGAGAAUGAGUUCAUUGAACACGAUCAACGAAGAGUUCUCAUAUUCAUGUCACAUGAGAACUCAUGGUUGGGAUAAUGCAAAGUAGUCCUUUGACCUGAGGCAUCACAAUUGUCUUGUGGUUAAGUCCUUGAUCUUUGAUUAUGUCAAAGUCACCCCAUCGGGGUGUCCACAGCAUCGUUGAGGUUAAGCCACUUAGUCAUGAAGGCAAGUGAAUGCGCAACAAGGGAUCUCUAACCUUCAAACCGUUUGAGGGAGAAUACUCUAUCAUAUGAUUUAGAACCUCUGAUCAGAGUAUGAAUGAGAUUUAGGAAAGCGUUCCAAAUCACAUUCAAGGUAAUCAUAUAAGCACACGAAUCACAUUGGAUAGUAGACAUGAAUAAAUAAACUAUCAAACCAAACAAUGUGGUCAAGAGUAUAAGAUUAGAGAAAGACCGUAUUGCAUUUGUAAUCCUAAACUGAAUAGGUUCUCCACCUCUUCUGAUUAGCUUGGGUAACCAUGAUAUGCUGCUAGGUGUCACUCAUAGUUUGUGGAAGCCCUAAACGUGUGUAAUCACUAAAGGAAGAAUUGAAAGUAAGUUUCAAUUCACAAUUGAUGUAAAAUGGUUUUAAUCGCCCACUGCCUCGCUAAAAGGAACCUAAUGGAUCGUACACCGUGUAAGGUGAAGAUUGAAGAAACAAUGGAGAUGAGAAAGAAUAAUUAAAUGGUUUAAUUAUUUAUGGCAAGGAUUAAUUAAUAUGUUAAUUAAUCAAACGAAUAAGUUCGUUAAAGACCUCGGGGAUAGUUUUGGACCUUAAGGCCCAAUGGGCUUCGAACGUCAAGCCCAUUGACUUAAGUUGUAUGACAACUUAAUUCACAAAGGCCCAAAAGCCCAAACAAAACCCUAGGGCCGGCCAUUUAGAGAAGGGUAGUGAACUUGGACUUAUUUACAAGUUUGCCACUCCAAUGAAUUAAGGUAUAAAUAUGACUUUAUAGCUAAAAUUCAUAAAGGGGUUUGUUUUGGAGAAAAUUGGAGAGAACAUGUCUCUCCAUUUCUCUCUAAAGAGGCCGGCCCCUUGGAGGGUGUAUCUAGCCAUACUACUACUCCAAGGUCACUCUUUUUCUUCUCCAAUCUCUCCUUGGUGUGGAGACUUAGAGGUUCUCAAUUUUGGGAACUUGGAGAAACCUAUUCUUCCAUCCAAAUCCAUAGAUUUUAGAUGCAAGGAAUGAAGACCCUCUCUUUGGGUGAUUAGCCUUUGCUUAUGCAAAGAGGAAUCUACAAAGUUAUAUAUUUUUCAACUCACUUUGAUUUGAGUUGAGUCUUGGUUCACCAAUCUACUAGGCUUUGAAUUUCAUGGAUAAUGUUUUGUUUUUGAAUGCAUGCAAGCAUGAUUCCGCCUUUUAAUUGUUAAUUGCAUGCUAUAGAUGUUAUUCAAAUGAACAUGUUUUCACAAAAUCAUCCUUCGGGCCCAUAGUCAUAAUAGUCGAUGGUACGUUCACCCCUGGUUGUCUUAAUACGAACUUUUAUCCCUCUUGUUGUAAUGGGCUUGCUGAGAGUAAAAAUCCUUCCUCUUACCAAGAAACAAAUACGUUUGGUGACUUAGCGAGUAGCUAAAUGAGGCAGGAGAUGAUGCAAUGGGUGUCUAAAUGGCCAAUAUCUCCGCACUUGAUAGAACUUGACUUCCACUUCCCAUUUGUUGAUAGGGGCUAACCAUAUGGGGGUUCCCUUGGUAUAUCCUUGCUUC
rnacentral:lncRNA from 1 species